AUUUAGUUGGGCACUCUAAGGUGACUGCCGGUGACAAACCGGAGGAAGGUGGGGAUGACGUCAAAUCAUCAUGCCCCUUAUGACCUGGGCUACACACGUGCUAGAAUGGACGAUACAAACGGUUGCCAACUCGCGAGAGGGAGCUAAUCCGAUAAAGUCGUUCUCAGUUCGGAUUGUAGGCUGCAACUCGCCUACAUGAAGCCGGAAUCGCUAGUAAUCGCGGAUCAGCAUGCCGCGGUGAAUACGUU
rnacentral:rRNA from 1 species